AUGACGAGGCGGUUCUUGCCUCUUUGCGCGCUCCUCCUCGUGCUGCUCUGCAUGGCGGCGAGCCUCGCGGAGGGGAGGCGCGGCGGGGGACGCCCCAUCAUCGGCGGCGGCAGCGGCGGGGCCAGAGGGAGGGGCUCCGGCAGCCCGCGCGGCCUCAGCGGCGGCACCUGGGCGGCGUGCGUCGGCUCCUCGCUGCUGGUCGCGGCGGCCAUGCUCUUCUAG
rnacentral:rRNA from 1 species